rnacentral:lncRNA from 1 species
UGCCGGGAUGAGAAAAGCAUGGCGACGCAGUGGAGACAAUGGCGGGUGGCAGAGAGGGCGAGGAGGGAGGAAGGAGGAGGCCGGGAGGAGGAGAUGUGAUAGGCAAAGGAAGGGAUGGAGAGGGAGGAUAGGGAAGGAGUGCUGCCAGGGACCGAUAAAAUCUCUUAAUUGACUGAUAAAAUAUAUUGACUAAAUAAUUAGUGUAAAAAGCAUUACCCCUUUUUUAUUUAUAAUUACUUAACUUCUAAUUAUUUUAUUUAUAUUAUUUCACUCAAAUAACUUUGAAAUUUACUAAAUCUAAUAGUAAUUUAGUGAAUGAUUUAAUUUCUUAAUUUUUAUAAAUAUAAUUGUGAUAAUAAAUAAUUAUUAGUUGAUAGAGCUAUUAACUUUAAUAUAACCUUUAAUUUAAUUAAAUA